GAUGAACGCUGGCGGCGUGCCUAAUACAUGCAAGUCGAGCGAACAGACGAGGAGCUUGCUCCUCUGACGUUAGCGGCGGACGGGUGAGUAACACGUGGAUAACCUACCUAUAAGACUGGGAUAACUUCGGGAAACCGGAGCUAAUACCGGAUAAUAUAUUAAACCGCAUGGUUCAAUAGUGAAAGACGGUUUUGCUGUCACUUAUAGAUGGAUCCGCGCCGCAUUAGCUAGUUGGUAAGGUAACGGCUUACCAAGGCAACGAUGCGUAGCCGACCUGAGAGGGUGAUCGGCCACACUGGAACUGAGACACGGUCCAGACUCCUACGGGAGGCAGCAGUAGGGAAUCUUCCGCAAUGGGCGAAAGCCUGACGGAGCAACGCCGCGUGAGUGAUGAAGGUCUUCGGAUCGUAAAACUCUGUUAUUUGGGAAGAACAAAUGUGUAAGUAACUAUGCACGUCUUGACGGUACCUAAUCAGAAAGCCACGGCUAACUACGUG
rnacentral:rRNA from 1 species